GACGAACGCUGGCGGCGUGCCUAACACAUGCAAGUCGAGCGGGGUUGAAGCGAGAGGUAACUCGAACUUCUACCUAGCGGCGGACGGGUGAGUAACGCGUGGGCAACCUGCCUCAAGGUCUGGGAUAACAGCCCGAAAGGGCUGCUAAUACCGGGUAUGCUUGUGGCCUCGCAUGGGGCUACGAGCAAAGGGGAAACCCGCCUUGAGAUGGGCCCGCGUCCCAUCAGCUAGUUGGUGAGGUAACAGCUCACCAAGGCGACGACGGGUAGCCGGCCUGAGAGGGUGACCGGCCACACUGGGACUGAGACACGGCCCAGACUCCUACGGGGGGCAGCAGUGGGGGAUCUUGCACAAUGGGCGAAAGCCUGAUGCAGCGACGCCGCGUGAGCGAAGAAGGCCUUCGGUUGUAAAGCUCUGUCUGGAGGGACGAAGGAAGUGACGGUACCUCCGGAGGAAGCCACGGCUAACUACGUGCCAGCAGCCGCGGUAAAAGUCACGUGUA
rnacentral:rRNA from 1 species